GAUGAACGCUGGCGGCGUGCUUAACACAUGCAAGUCGAACGGGAAACCUUUUAUUGAAGCUUCGGCAGAUUUAGCUGGUUUCUAGUGGCGGAUGGGUGAGUAACGCGUGGGUAACCUGCCUUAUACAGGGGGAUAACAACCAGAAAUGGUUGCUAAUACCGCAUAAGCGCACAGGACCGCAUGGUCCGGUGUGAAAAACUCCGGUGGUAUAAUAUGGACCCGCGUUGGAUUAGGUAGUUGGCAGGGUAACGGCCUACCAAGGCGACGAUCCAUAGCCGGCAGGGGAGGGUGAACGGCCACAUUGGGACUGAGACACGGCCCAGACUCCUACGGGAGGCAGCAGUGGGGAAUAUUGCACAAUGGGGGAAACCCUGAUGCAGCGACGCCGCGUGAAGGAAGAAGUAUCUCGGUAUGUAAACUUCUAUCAGCAGGGAAGAUAGUGACGGUACCUGACUAAGAAGCCCCGGCUAACUACGUG
rnacentral:rRNA from 1 species